UACAGAGGGGGCAAGCGUUUGUUCGGAAUUACUGGGCGUAAAGGGCGCGUAGGCGGCCUUCUAAGUCGAACGUGAAAUCCCCGGGCUCAACCCGGGAACUGCGUCCGAGACUGGAAGGCUCGAAUCCGGGAGAGGGAUGUGGAAUUCCAGGUGUAGUGGUGAAAUGCGUAGAUAUCUGGAGGAACAUCGGUGGCGAAGGCGGCAUCCUGGACCGGUAUUGACGCUGAGGCGCGAAAGCCAGGGGAGCAAACGGG
rnacentral:rRNA from 1 species